rnacentral:rRNA from 1 species
UGGCGCACGGGUGAGUAACGCGUGGGAACGUGCCCUUCAGUACGGGACAACGUCGGGAAACUGACGCUAAUACCGUAUAAUAUCUCCGGAUCAAAGAUUUAUCGCUGAAGGAUCGGCCCGCGUCUGAUUAGUUUGUUGGUGAGGUAACGGCUCACCAAGACUACGAUCAGUAGCUGGUCUGAGAGGAUGAUCAGCCACACUGGGACUGAGACACGGCCCAGACUCCUACGGGAGGCAGCAGUUAGGAAUAUUGGACAAUGGGGGAAACCCUGAUCCAGCCAUGCCGCGUGUGUGAUGAAGGCCUUAGGGUUGUAAAGCACUUUCGUUGGGGAUGAUAAUGACCGUACCCAAAGAAGAAGCCACGGCUAAAUUCGUGCCAGCAGCCGCGGUAAUACGAAUGUGGCAAGCGUUGUUCGGAAUCACUGGGCGUAAAGAAUGCGUAGGCGGCUUGACAAGUCGAGAGUGAAAUCCCAGGGCUUAACCCUGGAACUGCUUUCGAAACUGUUUUGCUAGAGUCCCGGAGGGGUUGGCGGAAUUCCGAGUGUAGAGGUGAAAUUCGCAGAUAUUCGGAGGAACACCAGUGGCGUAGGCGGCCAACUGGACGGGAACUGACGCUGAGGCAUGAAAGUGUGGGGAUCAAACAGGAUUAGAUACCCUGGUAGUCCACACCGUAAACGAUGUGUGCUAGUUGUCGGGCAGUUUACUGUUCGGUGACGGAGCUAACGUUUUAAGCACACCGCCUGGGAAGUACGGCCGCAAGGUUAAAACUCAAAGGAAUUGACGGGGACCCGCACAAGCGGUGGAACAUGUCCUUUAAUUCGUAGCAACGCGAAGAACCUUACCUACCCUUGACA